rnacentral:rRNA from 1 species
AUUGAACGCGUGGCGGCAUGCCUUACACAUGCAAGUCGAGCGGCAGCACGGGAGCAAUCCUGGUGGCGAGUGGCGAACGGGUGAGUAAUAUAUCGGAACGUGCCCAGUCGUGGGGGAUAACGCAGCGAAAGCUGUGCUAAUACCGCAUACGAUCUCUGGAUGAAAGCGGGGGGAUCGCAAGACCUCGCGCUAUUGGAGCAGCCGAUGUCCGAUUAGGUAGUUGGUGGGGUAAAAGCCUACCAAGCCGACGAUCGGUAACUGGUCUGAGAGGACGACCAGUCACACUGGGACUGAGACACGGCCCAGACUCCUACGGGAGGCAGCAGUGGGGAAUUUUGGACAAUGGGGGAAACCCUGAUCCAGCAAUGCCGCGUGUGUGAAGAAGGCCUUCGGGUUGUAAAGCACUUUUGGCGGGAACGAAACGGCGCUAGCUAAUACCUGGCGCUAAUGACGGUACCCGCAGAAUAAGCACCGGCUAACUACGUG